CGGGAAAGUUUCCCAGCUGCACUUCUGGGAAAUGCAGAGGCUGCCUGCCGCUUUCUUUGGUGGUUUUGCGGCCCAAGGCUUGGGCGAAUCAGUUCACAUCAACACCCCUACUAGCCUCUCCCUCCGGGGUCGACCAUUUAUCUCCAGCAGCGGACCAGGCGCCCGGGGCCAGGGUGACAUGCGCGCCCUGCCUACACGCAGCUCGGAUCCUCUGCUGUUUCUGGAGAGGCCUCCACAGUUGCCCUCUGCUGGAAAACAGCAUCUUUGUCCUCUGAGAAAAACAGUCUCCCUUCUUACGGAGGCCAGUGGAUUCCAUCCUAGAGGCUGUGUUGACCGUAUCUCCAAAUAGACAAUAACGAGGCAUCUUGAUUCCCACAACUCCAGCAGCACAGGGACCUGAAAUGAAGGACAGAAAGCAGGAAGUGGAGGCAAUAGAAAUUGCAGAGUAGAGUGAAGACAGGUGGCAUUUCUGGGAUUGGUGCCAUGACAAUGGAAGACAGAAGACAAGACAAAGGCAUAACUUUCCGUAAGCAUUUCAUGGACCAGGCGAAUGCAGCUGGAUGGGGAAGCCUGUUGCACAAGGAGGUUCCAACAAGCAGAACAAAAGCCCAGGCUAGACUAUGC
rnacentral:lncRNA from 1 species